GUUUCACCAUGUUGGCCAGGCUGGUCUCGAACUCCUGACCUCAGGUGAUCCUCCUCGGCCUCCCAAAGUGUUGGGAUUACAGUGCAUUUUAUAAAAGCAUUUAUUUAUUCUUUUUUUUUUUUUUUUUUUUGAGACUGAGUCUCACUCUGUUGCCCAGGCUGGUGCAAUGGCACGAUCUCAGCUCACUGCAACCUCCACCUCCCAGGAGAAUCGCUUGAACCCAGGAGGCAGAGGUUGCAGUGAGACAAGACUGCGCCAUUGCACUCCAGCCUGGGCAAUAAGAGUAAAACUCCAUCUCAAAAA
rnacentral:lncRNA from 1 species